UAUUGCACAAUGGGCGAAAGCCUGAUGCAGCGACGCCGCGUGANGGAUGACGGCCUUCGGGUUGUAAHCUCUUUCAGUAGGGAAGAAGCGAAAGUGACGGUACCUGCAGAAGAAGCGCCGGCUAACUACGUGCCAGCAGCCGCGGUAAUACGUAGGGCGCAAGCGUUAUCCGGAAUUAUUGGGCGUAAAGAGCUCGUAGGCGGUUUGUCGCGUCUAUCGUGAAAGUCCGAGGCUCAACCUCGGAUCUGCGGUGGGUACGGGCAGACUAGAGUGAUGUAGGGGAGACUGGAAUUCCUGGUGUAGCGGUGAAAUGCGCAGAUAUCAGGAGGAACACCGAUGGCGAAGGCAGGUCUCUGGGCAUUAACUGACGCUGAGGCGCGAAAGCUAGGGGAGCGAACAGGAUUAGAUACCCUGGUAGUCCUAGCCGUAAACGUUGGGUGCUAGGUGUGGGCGGAUUUCGACCCCGUCCGUGCCGAAGCUAACGCAUUAAGCACCCCGCCUGGGGAGUACGGCCGCAAGGCUA
rnacentral:rRNA from 1 species